GACGAACGCUGGCGGCGUGCUUAACACAUGCAAGUUGAACGGAAAGGCCCUGCUUUUGUGGGGUGCUCGAGUGGCGAACGGGUGAGUAACACGCGAGUAACCUGCCCUUGACUUUGGGAUAACUUCAGGAAACUGGGGCUAAUACCGGAUAGGAGCUCCUGCUGCAUGGUGGGGGUUGGAAAGUUUCGGCGGUUGGGGAUGGACUCGCGGCUUAUCAGCUUGUUGGUGGGGUAGUGGCUUACCAAGGCUUUGACGGGUAGCCGGCCUGAGAGGGUGACCGGCCACAUUGGGACUGAGAUACGGCCCAGACUCCUACGGGAGGCAGCAGUGGGGAAUAUUGCACAAUGGGCGGAAGCCUGAUGCAGCAACGCCGCGUGCGGGAUGACGGCCUUCGGGUUGUAAACCGCUUUCGCCUGUGACGAAGCGUGAGUGACGGUAAUGGGUAAAGAAGCACCGGCUAACUACGUG
rnacentral:rRNA from 1 species